rnacentral:rRNA from 1 species
GGGGAAUAUUGGGCAAUGGGCGAAAGCCUGACCCAGCAACGCCGCGUGAAGGAAGAAGGCCCUCGGGUUGUAAACUUCUUUUGUCAGGGACGAAGCAAGUGACGGUACCUGACGAAUAAGCCACGGCUAACUACGUGCCAGCAGCCGCGGUAAUACGUAGGGUGCAAGCGUUAAUCGGAAUUACUGGGCGUAAAGGGUGCGCAGGCGGCUGUGCAAGACAGAUGUGAAAUCCCCGGGCUUAACCUGGGAACUGCAUUUGUGACUGCACGGCUAGAGUUUGUCAGAGGAGGGUGGAAUUCCGCGUGUAGCAGUGAAAUGCGUAGAUAUGCGGAAGAACACCAAUGGCGAAGGCAGCCCUCUGGGACAUGAAUGACGCUCAUGCACGAAAGCGUGGGGAGCAAACA